AGUUUGGAAUUACAAUUGGAGGCUGCUAUAGUUUUUUUGUUUGCUUAUGCAUCAUAUGCUCUUUACAUAUACAAAACCGAGAAAUUAGUAGAUGAUGAGCAGAUUGUAUGUCUUGUUGUAAUCAUAACUGGCUUAAUCUACUUGUUUAUAUACUUGUGUUUUUAUGAUUUUUUUUUGCAGGCACGUCCUACCCAUGAGAAGUACUUGAACAUGAAAAUUGAGAUGUACAAUGAACUUACUCUGGUGGCUGGA